UGCUUAGCAAAAAAAAAAAAAAACUAGUUCAAGCUUUAAUUUUUUUUUCCGGACAGCCCGUUUGAUGUUGCUAGCGUCUGCUAUGAUAUCUUAAAUAUGGCUAGGUCUUUUAGAAAUUGUAGUAUAUACAGGUGUUCAAGGGAACCUGUUAGAUCUGCUCGUAUUCUAGCUGUUAAAUCUAGAAGAGGAGGUUGAUGUUUGUUGUUUUUUUGUUCUGUGUGUAAUUACUAUCAAAAAAAAGAAAAAAGUAAAGAAGAAAAGAAAAGGAAAAAAAAAGAAAAGGAAAAAGAAUAAAAGGAUAAAUAAAAAGGAAAAUAAAAAACCAAAACCAACCAAAUCCCCCCAAAUUAACGAGGAAUCAGCCCCCCAUCUUUUGUCUUCGUUCUUUUUCUUCUCUUUCGCCUUCCCUGCUUCGCAUCCCUUUCAAAUCAAACCAUCAUCAAUCUAUCAUCGUCCAUCAUCAACAAUGCUUAAUCAUCAUCUUGCCGUACAUCUUAACCGUCUAUCAUUAUCAACAAUCGCAGAUCAUGGCCAUCAAUAAAUUACUUCAAAUCGCAGCCGUUGGAAUUCAUUAUUUCCGUACAAAAACUUGACUGCCCAAAUGUUCGGUCGAACCAGAAAAAGGUUCGGGCGAACUUAAUUGUUGUUCGGACGAACUCCUCGAUAGUUUGAGCGAACCUAAACUCGAUCAUGAACUUUUCUGAAUUUCGGGUUCGGUCUGGGUUCGGUCGAACUUAAUACGGGUUCGACCGAACCCAAUUACUCUGCUUUUUGCUCUGAUUUGGUUGCGAUUUUGCUGCGUUGGUGUUGUCUUUUGUUGUUGGUGGAUGUAGCGUUGGUGUUGCGUUGGAGAUGGAGUGGCUUACGGUGGGGAAGAAGGUGGGCUGCGGGUGUUGGUGUGGAGAAGCAGGAAGGUUGGGCGGUUGGCGAGGAGACAGGGGUGAAAGAACGCUGGUGCUGUGGUGGUUCUGCGUAGGGCUGGCAAAAGCUGACCCGACCUGAUAACCCGACCCGAACCUGACCUGAAAAUAGCGGGUUUGAGUUGAGAUUUUCAACCCGAUUAAUUAAAUGGGUCGACACGAAUCCGACCUGAAGUUAAAUGGGUUAGGUUAAGGUUGAAAAUUUCAACCCGAAACUAACAUGUGUAACCCGAUUAAUUAAAUGGGUCAAUUUCAGAUCGGGUUAACCCGACAUGAUAACCCGAAAUAAAAGGAGAAUGCACGAAUUUCCUAUUUAGUGUACCGCAAAAGAGAUGUCGGUCAUUUCAUUUUACAAUAAUUUAGAUUUGGACCAAAGGCCCAAAACCCAAAUGUAUUAGUUGGUUAAUUUAAAUAGAAAACCCUAACCUUUUCCCUUCAUUUUCUACUUCUCAGCCUCCCAUCUCUCUCUCUCUAGAUCCUCUCUCUCUCAAUCCAGCGGUGGCUUCUCUAAUUCAUCACUUCCUCAGUCAAUUACGUAUCUACUACUGCAACUCCCUCUCUCAGUGUUCCUCCUUAACUAGGUGAACGGAAAGAAAGGGCUAUUUAUUCAAGGGAAUUUUGGCACCCUGUAAUCGUCAAAACGCUACGAACUUGGAGAAUCCUACAUUUUAGAUUUUAAAUUUUUAGAUCUUAUAUCUUACUUUGGGUGUAUAUAAUUUUUAAUUGAUUCUUCGAUUUAGUUGUUGUAUAAUUUUAAUAUCUAGAUCUUGCACUUGUGUUUUGGUUUUAUGUUGUUGAUGGGUAAUCAAAAUCAUUAUUUCUCAA